AAGUCGUAACAAGGUUUCCGUAGGUGAACCUGCGGAAGGAUCAUUUCCGAAACAAAUCCAUUAUCAACCAACCAUGUGAAUUGUUUCAGGUCUUUCCUGCGGCCGUACUUAUUUCCUUCUUCUCUUCUUCUUCCUCCUCCUUACGGGGGGGGGGGCGGGGGCGGAAAGAUGUGCAAAUUCUUACGUGUCGCAGGCCUUGAUGAACUACCUUCAUAGGUUGAUUUCUUAUCGUUUUUUCAAAUUCUUUUGAAAAAUAAAUGAUAUGACAACUUUUAACGGUGGAUCUCUUGGCUCGU
rnacentral:misc_RNA from 1 species